CAAAUUCUAAUACAAGGAGGGUAUGUAUGCAAAAAAAUCUGUAACAUAUCCAACGAAAAAAGAAAUAGAGAAAGAAAGAAUACCCUAUGUAUCUAUAGCCCUUAUGUCAUUGGAUGCAUCAUAAAUAUAUUCCUAGAUCAAACAAUAGCGACAUAUUUAUCUUUACUCUAAUCCUUGACAUAGUUUAUUCAGAUGUGCUCUUCAAAAGGCUCCCACAGAUGGCACUCCACCCAAA
rnacentral:lncRNA from 1 species